rnacentral:rRNA from 1 species
CGUGGGGUAGGGGAGCGUUCUGUAAGCCGUUGAAGGUGGUCUGUAAGGGCUGCUGGAGGUAUCAGAAGUGCGAAUGCUGACAUGAGUAACGAUAAAGGGAGUGAAAAACUCCCUCGCCGGAAGACCAAGGGUUCCUGUCCAACGUUAAUCGGGGCAGGGUAAGUCGACCCCUAAGGCGAGGCCGAAAGGCGUAGUCGAUGGGAAACGGGUUAAUAUUCCCGUACUUCUUACAAUUGCGAUGGGGGGACGGAGAAGGCUAGGUGGGCCUGGCGACGGUUGUCCAGGUUCAAGUACGUAGGCGGAAGAAUUAGGUAAAUCCGGUUCUUCAUAACGCUGAGAUACGAUGUCGAGCUACUACGGUAGUGAAGUCAUUGAUGCCAUGCUUCCAGGAAAAGCCUCUAAGCUUCAGAUUGUAAGGAAUCGUACCCCAAACCGACACAGGUGGUCGGGUAGAGAAUACCAAGGCGCUUGAGAGAACUCGGGUGAAGGAACUAGGCAAAAUGGUACCGUAACUUCGGGAGAAGGUACGCUCUUAUCAGUGAAGUCCCUUGCGGAUGGAGCAGACGAGAGUCGCAGAUACCAGGUGGCUGCAACUGUUUAUUAAAAACACAGCACUGUGCAAAAUCGUAAGAUGACGUAUACGGUGUGACGCCUGCCCGGUGCCGGAAGGUUAAUUGAUGGGGUUAGACUUCGGUCGAAGCUCUUGAUCGAAGCCCCGGUAAACGGCGGCCGUAACUAUAACGGUCCUAAGGUAGCGAAAUUCCUUGUCGGGUAAGUUCCGACCUGCACGAAUGGCGUAAUGAUGGCCACGCUGUCUCCACCCGAGACUCAGUGAAAUUGAAAUCGCUGUGAAGAUGCAGUGUACCCGCGGCUAGACGGAAAGACCCCGUGAACCUUUACUACAGCUUGGCACUGAACAUUGAACCUACAUGUGUAGGAUAGGUGGGAGACUUUGAAACCGCGUCGCUAGAUGUGGUGGAGUCGUCCUUGAAAUACCACCCUUGUAGUUUUGAUGUUCUAACGUUGGUCCCUGAAUCGGGAUUACGGACAGUGCCUGGUGGGUAGUUUGACUGGGGCGGUCUCCUCCCAAAGAGUAACGGAGGAGCACGAAGGUGGGCUAAACACGGUUGGACAUCGUGUGGUUAGUGCAAUGGCAUAAGCCCGCUUGACUGCGAGAAUGACAAUUCGAGCAGGUGCGAAAGCAGGUCAUAGUGAUCCGGUGGUUCUGAAUGGAAGGGCCAUCGCUCAACGGAUAAAAGGUACUCCGGGGAUAACAGGCUGAUACCGCCCAAGAGUUCAUAUCGACGGCGGUGUUUGGCACCUCGAUGUCGGCUCAUCACAUCCUGGGGCUGAAGUCGGUCCCAAGGGUAUGGCUGUUCGCCAUUUAAAGUGGUACGCGAGCUGGGUUUAGAACGUCGUGAGACAGUUCGGUCCCUAUCUGCCGUGGGCGUUGGAAAAUUGAAGGGGGCUGCUCCUAGUACGAGAGGACCGGAGUGGACGAACCUCUGGUGUUCGGGUUGUCAUGCCAAUGGCAUUGCCCGGUAGCUAAGUUCGGAAUCGAUAACCGCUGAAAGCAUCUAAGCGGGAAGCGAGCCCUGAGAUGAGUUUUCCCUGAC